GAUUAACACGGAUUCAUUCGAACAGAAGUCGUUUUCGUCCAAGAAGAAGCUGCCGAACACUAUUGUCAUCGAUUUGAAGAAGCAAACCAUUACUGUACCCGAAUUAGAGCCGGUCGAACCAGAUAGUAUUUUUCACCAUAAUCUGUUCCUUAGUGAGGAAGCUCGUACGGAGAAGUGGGUUAAAGAGUUAUAUGUAUAUCGCCAGAAGGCUUUACAGCAAGGUGUCAAAAGCGGUUUGUGAUAAAAGACAAUGAAAUACUUUAUAAUUCCGAUUAUUUUAAGUCUCUUUCUAUACAAUUUUUUUAAAGUAAACCUGCCCACGAUUUGUGAGACCGAUUUCGAUUACAUUAGUCUACAGUCAAAUUCAUUUGUAGAGCUCUUUUCUAAUUACUUUAGUGUAAAAUAUGUUUUUUACGGGUCAUUUAAUAAUCAAAAGGUGGUGGUUAAAAAACUCCGAGGUGAUUUAAGCAGUGAUCUUUACAGUGAAACGAACACUAACUUUCAAAUUUGCCCCCCAAGUUUGCUUGCAGACUUCCUCGGUUUAAUCUCCAUGGAAAAUUCGACAAUGGCAAUGUAUUGGCACAGCAUUUUGCGAGUCAAUGCCGAACCUCUACUUCUACAGGUGCUCAAGGCCGAACACGCUUGGCCAGUUCCUCGAUAUUUCGGCAUGUAUGGCCGGUGUCUUGUUGAGUCGCAUUGUGGGGUCGCGUUAAAUGCGUUUAAAAAUGCAGAUUGGCAUGUACGUGCCGAAUUGACUCUGCAACUAUUAAACGCAGCAAAACGCUUCACCGGUCGACACCCCAAUUUUAGGUUUUAUCUCACCGAUGUCUCGCCGGAUAACAUUGCUGUGAGCGACAAUUUACAAGUCACGUUUGUUGAUCUAGAAAACGUCAUCGUUACCGGCAAACACAAUGCAAAUUUAAAUCUGCACAUCUCCGAGCGGUUUGACGAUGCCGACGGUUUCGCAUUUUCUGAAAGUGCAAUAUGCAACAGUUCAAUAAGCGAUCAUAAUUAUUACGCCAUUUGCAAGUUGCUUCUCUCAGACAGAGCUCCUUGGCCCAUGAUGGAAGGUGGUUUGUUACAUACUCCACCAACGAAUGUUGUCGAUAUAUACUCUCACCUAAUUGCACUCAUUCACUCUUGCAGUCAUGAUGUAAAUUGUUUUGAUGCUGUCGAAAAGAUCAUUUAGAAACGAGACACAAGGUAUGUCUACUUUCCCGAAACUUGGAGGUUGAGUGGUGCUCCUUGGAUCAAAGUGGCGGUUUCCGGCUUCUGAACUUAAAUUCCUAAUAGCUAUGAUGGUAACUCAAUUCUUCUGGGGGGGAUAUAUCCCCUUAAUCCCCCCCCCCCCGUAAAUACGCCACUGCUUCGUAAAUCACCUUCUAGUCUCCCGAACAGCUCCAAAAAUAUUAAGGGAUACCGCGUCAGAUUAAAGUAAGCGUGGCGAGAGGGAGCGUUACAACCUUGAGAUUCUCGACGCCGUUGGAUUGAGUUCAAGACUAACGGAAGUAACAUAAUCCGCCAAUUUCCACACGCCAAAGUGGAACAAUGCGUCCAUAAAGUCCAGUGCGUUCAGCAGUUGAAGCAUAUACCUAUAUGUCGUUGGCUGAGAUCAUAGGCGCUCGUGUACGUCAAAUUAUACGUGCCACUCUGUCUAACGUGCUCAAAUAAAUCCCAUUUUAUACCUUUC